rnacentral:misc_RNA from 1 species
AACAUCGCGCACCUGCGGGAACCUGCGGAGGGAUCAUUACAGAGUUGCAAAACUCCCUAAACCAUUGUGAACGUUACCUAAACCGUUGCUUCGGCGGGCGGCCCGGGUCCUUCCCGGCGCCCAUCGGCCCUCGCGGGCGCCCGCCGGAGGUAAACCAAACUAUUGCAUUGUAUGGCCUCUCUGAGUCUUCUGUACUGAAUAAGUCAAAACUUUCAACAACGGAUCUCAGAUCGGAGAGCA